UACAGAGGGUGCAAGCGUUGUUCGGAAUUAUUGGGCGUAAAGGGUGCGUAGGCGGUGCGGUAAGUCUGUAGUGAAAUCUCUGGGCUCAACUCAGAGUCUGCUAUAGAAACUGCCGUGCUUGAGUGUGGGAGAGGUGAGUGGAAUUCCUGGUGUAGUGGUGAAAUGCGUAGAGAUCAGGAGGAACACCGGUGGCGAAGGCGGCCUACUGGGCCGUCACUGACGCUGAGGCGCGAAAGCUCGGGGAGCGAACGGG
rnacentral:rRNA from 1 species